AAAACUCAGCUCUGAAGUUUACAUGUAUAUAUGAUGUUUUACUGUAACAUGAAUAAAAACGGGUCUAUGGUAUUAGUAUAUUUUGGAAGUAAACUAAACCUUUCUAAACCUGCCCUUGCUCAUUUUAGUUUCCUGAAUUAUUUGCAUUAAACUUAUGCACAUUUAUUUGUUGCUCAGUUUGCCAGCUAGUGUAAAUGUCACAGAUCCCAUCAUGUGAAGCGUGGCCUACUGGCUCCAGAUUCAGUUCAUGAUAAAAUGAGCAAAACAUUUAAAAAGGAAAUGAGCCCUGCACUGUAGCAAGAUGAUUGAGGUGAAAUUGAUUGCUACUGAAGUUGUGAUGAUAUAAAGCAUAAACUACAGAUGCAUUCACAUCUGUAACUGAACAUUUUGAUUUAAGAUGAAAAGUAAGGAUUUUAUCUUAACUGAUUACAUCUGAUCGGCUGAUUUAAAAGCUUGAUGUAAACAAACGUUUUAACAACACAAAACAUAACUGUUUUAAAAUGUUUAGUGAGUGACCUGAAAGUCAUAUCUGAAGACUGGAGGAGGAUGACAUCAUCACCAGACCUGAAAAAGCAGUGCUCAUACCUGGUUAUGAAGGUACAGAGAAACACACGACGUGUCCUUGAACAGUCCUGCUGUUCUAGUCUUCCUGUGUAGUUGCGCUGUCAGAUUUUGCCCCCAAGUUUUGUUGAGAUUUGUUCAUUAAUAAUUUUAAGGUUUAUAUUAGUUUUAAACCAACGCAUGUGCCCAUCUCCCAGAUUAUCAUGUGACCCUGGCAGGGUCCCAAAAAUGUUUCAGUGAUUGUUUUAAAGCUCAAACACCAUUUCAGAACAUAUAAGGACUAUUAUGUUGUUUGGUUUGUCAUUAAAUGGAGCAGGAAUUGUUGGUGGUGUAGCUUUAAAUUUGACAAACUGAUCACUAAUCUUGAAAAGACCCAAAGUGUUCAGAAAACUGCUUCUUCGUUUUGGGUAGUAAUAACUGUAGUUCUUAU